CAAACUGGAGAUGGCGACCGGCGCACGGGUAAGUAACACGUAUCCAACCUGCCGAUAACUCGGGGAUAGCCUUUCGAAAGAAAGAUUAAUACCCGAUGGCAUAAUAGAACCGCAUGGUUUGAUUAUUAAAGAAUUUCGGUUAUCGAUGGGGAUGCGUUCCAUUAGGCAGUUGGUGGGGUAACGGCCCACCAAACCUUCGAUGGAUAGGGGUUCUGAGAGGAAGGUCCCCCACAUUGGAACUGAGACACGGUCCAA
rnacentral:rRNA from 1 species